UGCGGCUGGAACAUCUCAUUUUAGAGCGUCUUAAGGACGAUAAACAAUUAAAGGCCAUAUAGUGGUCACUUACUUAAACAAAGCACAGCUUUGGUUUUACUUUGGUUGAUAUUUAAGAAAUAACCCCUUAGAUUAGUAACAGGGAAAGAGAUAGUUUAUAAUUAACAAUUAUUAAUUGAUAAUUAUAAAUUAAUGAAGUCUCGUAGCUCAGCUGGUUAGAGCGCUACACUGAUAAUGUAGAGGUCGGCAGUUCGAGCCUGCCCGAGACUACUAAUUUAAAAGACGGGAAGAUAAAAUAUUCAAGAGUUAAGACGAUUAAUUUAAAAGUCUUUCAUCUUGUAUCUAACAUCUUUUAGUCUACUUAGGGGGAAUUAGCUCAGCUGGCUAGAGCGCCUGCCUUGCACGCAGGAGGUCAAGGGUUCGACUCCCUUAUUCUCCACAGUUUUGUUGGACUGAUACAAGUAUACGAAUAGAGCCAAAACAAAUAUUCGUUUAUCAGGAAGAUAGAAAGAAAAAAGAGAUCAUUGACAUUAACGGUAAAAUUGACAUCACAAAGAGAUAACCGAGCACUCCUUGAGUGCAGAGUAAAAUAAAUUAGGAAAGAAAUCGUUAAGGGCGUAU
rnacentral:tRNA from 1 species